rnacentral:rRNA from 1 species
CUCUCCUUGUACUAUAAGGAGUACCGCCUGCUCAAUGCAUUAGUAAAUAGCCGCAGUAUUCUGACUGUGCUAAGGUAGCAUAAUCAUUAGUCUCUUAAUUAGAGGCUGGUAUGAAUGGUGAAACGAGAAAGAAGCUGUCUCUAAAAUAGUUAUCGAAUUUCAUUUUUAAGUGAAAAAGCUUAAAUGUGUUUGGGGGACGAUCAGACCCUUUGGAGCUUUUUUGUUGGGGCGACAGAAAGUUAAAAAAUACCACUUUCUUUUAAAAACAUGAGUGUAUGGAAAAUUGAUCCCCAAAGAGGGAUUAAAAGACUAAGUUACCCUAGGGAUAACAGCGUAAUCUUUCUGGAGAGUUCUUAUCGAUAGAAAGGUUUGCGACCUCGAUGUUGGAUUAAGAAAUUAGCAAGGUGCAGAAGUUUUGUGGAAAGUCUGUUCGACUUUUGAU